ensembl:lncRNA
GCCAAGAUACUCAAUCAGCCUAGUUGCCCAUUACUGGAAGAACAGAUAAAGAAAUGUGCAUAUACAGUGUGCUUUAGCCAUAAAUUUGAAUGAAAUCUUGUCCUUUGCAAGAACAUAGAUGGAAAAAGAAAGCGGAUGGAAUUGGAGGAUCUCAUCUGAAGCAGAAUACGUCAGACACAGAAAGACAGGCCUCACAUAUUUUCUCUUGUGAGUGGAAAUUGUUUAAAACCCUGGAAGUAGAAGACAGACUACUCUGGCUGCGAAGGGAACCACGAGGGAGGAGCGAGAAGAGGGGCGAGACAGGACAGAGGGAGGGCGGCUGUGACCAGCACACGGUACGUGCUUCCCGUGCGCAAGGCCCCGGGAGCUCAUCAGCUUGCGUAACCAUCACUUACAAUGAUAACCAAGGGGAGUGCUGAAGGCAGAAAAUCACUGAACUGGGGAGCCCAGAAAGCAGCAGCCGUAAAUACGAGAUGACCUUCCAAGAGCCGGAUGCCUGAAUUUACGACUUUGGAGACUACGAGACCAUGGGCCGCAGCAAGGGGAGCAUCGCGGCAGCAGGGGGCUGAGGAGGAAGGGAGAGCUCAUGGCCUUAAGUGAGGAGCGCAGCGGCCAGGCUGGACCUUCGCCGGCUCGCGGCAGGGCCUUCGCGGCGCCGCCCGCAGUAAGGCUCCGUGAGAAGAGCUGUGGACCAGGCCGGCGGCCUGAACGAUCCCGGGGCCUGAGGGCCGCUCCGGGACGCGCUCGAGGGCAAGGGGCGGGAGGCCAGGUCAAGGUCAGGCCCUGGGAAUAAGCCGGGGGAGGAGGAGCGACUCUGAAGGGGCGGGGCGACCGAUCGCGUCCCUGGGCAGGCACAGGGCACAGCACCGACUGCAAGCUAGGUUAAAGGCCACGUUUCGGGAUCCGGCAGGAAGCUCCUGUCCGUGGAGGGCCGCAGUCUAGCAUGUCCUGUCCUGUGUUCUUGACCACAAGGCCACCAUGCAGUGAGCAGCUGUCCUCCACCAGGCUCUUUUGCCUCAUGUUUCUGGAGUGGAGCAGCUGGCCAUGGACUGAACCCAGUGGAACUGUGAACCAACUCGAGGCAGUGACCCUCUGACCUGCUCACUCCAGCCCGAGGACCAGAAAUGGCUGCACGAUGCUCAGGCCUCUGGAAACCGUCCUGUCUCUGACCACCAGCUGCCCAGCUGAGACCCUCCAAGUGCC